UACGUAGGCAGCAAGCGUUGUUCGGAAUUACUGGGCGAAAAGAGGGUGUAGGCGGUGCUCUAAGUUUGGUGUGAAAUCUCCCGGCUCAACUGGGAGGGUGCGCCGAAAACUGGAAUGCUUGAACAUGGGAGAGGAAAGCGGAAUUCCUGGUGUAGCGGUGAAAUGCGUAGAUAUCAGGAGGAACACCUGCGGUGUAGACGGCUUUCUGGACCAUUGUUGACGCUGAGACACGAAAGCGUGGGUAGCAAACAGG
rnacentral:rRNA from 1 species